rnacentral:lncRNA from 1 species
UUUUUUUUUUUUGUUUUUUUUUUACUAUUAUUACCCUCUGAUGGGGUUUAUACAGAUGUCUCCAAAAGAUAAGAAAAAUAAAUUACAUCAUUCAAAAACGAGAAAAAUAAAUCACAUCAUUUUGGUGGGGUGUUUAUCCCUUGCUUUUGCGGUGUGCUUUUUCUUUUCUGCUUUUGUUUCUCCCACUCCAUUUCUUUCUCUUUUCUCUUUUGGCAGAUGGCA